rnacentral:rRNA from 1 species
UACGGAGGGUGCGAGCGUUGAUCGGAAUAACUGGGCGUAAAGGGCACGCAGGCGGGCUUUUAAGUGAGGUGUGAAAUCCCCGGGCUUAACCUGGGAAUAGCAUUUCAGACUGGGAGUCUAGAGUACUUUAGGGAGGGGUAGAAUUCCACGUGUAGCGGUGAAAUGCGUAGAGAUGUGGAGGAAUACCGCCUGCGAAGGCAGCCCAUUGGGAAUGUACUGACGCUCAUGUGCGAAAGCGUGGGGAGCAAACAGG